GAUGAACGCUAGCGGCAGGCUUAACACAUGCCAGUCGAGGGGUAUUUAUCUUCGGAUAGAGAGACCGGCGCACGGGUGCGUAACGCGUAUGCAAUCUACCUUUUACAGAGGGAUAGCCCAGAGAAAUUUGGAUUAAUACCUCAUAGUAUAUAGACUCGGCAUCGAGAUUAUAUUAAAGUCACAACGGUAAAAGAUGAGCAUGCGUCCCAUUAGCUAGUUGGUAAGGUAACGGCUUACCAAGGCUACGAUGGGUAGGGGUCCUGAGAGGGAGAUCCCCCACACUGGAAUGGGAAAACGAACAAGAUUCUAAGGGAGGGAGGAAUGGGGAAAAAUGGGAAAAGGGCGCAAGCCUGAUCCAGCCAUGCCGCGUGCAGGAUGACGGUCCUAUGGAUUGUAAACUGCUUUUAUACGAGAAGAAACACUGCUACGUGUAGCAGCUUGACGGUAUCGUAAGAAUAAGGAUCGGCUAACUCCGUG
rnacentral:rRNA from 1 species